rnacentral:tRNA from 1 species
UCGGUAGCUCAGUCGGUAGAGCAGGGGACUGAAAAUCCCCGUGUCGAUGGUUCGAUUCCGUCCCGAG